AACGAUACUUUCGUACUAGAGUGCCCACACGAGUAAUCAAAUAUUUAAAAGAAGAUCUUUAUAAGUUUUGGUAUGUAAUUUUCUAGUGUUUAUAUCAUUAUGAUAUUUACACCAGUGUCAUAUCUUUUAGAUAUGUACACGUAGAUCACUGCAUUUAAUAGAAGAAAAUUUUAUUAAGUUAUUCUCAAACAAUAACAAAAAUACUUAGUUCGCUUAAAAGGAGAACUAAGUAUAUUGCCCUUUUUU
rnacentral:misc_RNA from 1 species